UACGGAGGGUGCACGCGUUAUCCGGAAUUACUGGGUUUAAAGGGUGCGUAGGCGGCUUGAUAAGUCAGAGGUGAAAGCCUAUCGCUUAACGAUAGAAUUGCCUUUGAUACUGUAAAGCGUGAACGGGGUUGAGGUCAGCAGAAUGUGGCAUGUAGCGGUGAAAUGCAUAGAUAUGCCAUAGAACACCGAUUGCGAAGGCAGCUGGCUGGGCCUACUUUGACGCUGAGGCACGAAAGCGUGGGGAGCGAACAGG
rnacentral:rRNA from 1 species